rnacentral:rRNA from 1 species
CCUACGGGAUGCAGCAGUAGGGAAUCUUUCACAAUGGGCGAAAGCCUGAUGGAGCAACGCCGCGUGCAGGAUGAAGGCCUUCGGGUUGUAAACUGCUUUUAUAAGCGAGAAAUAUGAUGGUAACUUAUGAAUAAGGAUCGGCUAACUACGUGCCAGCAGCCGCGGUCAUACGUAGGAUCCGAGCAUUAUCCGGAGUGACUGGGUGUAAAGAGUUGCGUAGGUGGCAUAAUAAGUAGCUAGUGAAAUCUGGUGGCUCAACCAUUCAGACUAUUAGCUAAACUGUUAAGCUCGAGACCGUUAGGGGUAACUGGAAUGUCUAGUGUAGGAGUGAAAUCCGUAGAUAUUAGAAGGAACACCAAUAGCGUAGGCAGGUUGCUGGGACGGUUCUGACACUAAGGCACGAAAGCGUAGGGAGCAAACGGGAUUAGAUACCCCGGUAGUC